UGGACAAGAUUUGGAUUUUUUGGGAAAAUGAAGAAUAAGAGAAAGGUUUUCAACACAAGGCUGACGCGAAUGGCCGCACGUGUGCUUAAACCUUUUGAAAUAAUUUUUGUUUAAUUUUAAAGGAAUAAGAAAAAAAAGGUUUUCAACACAAGGCUGACGCAAGUGGUCGCACAUGUGCUUAAUAAUUUUUUUUUAAUUUUAAAAGAAUAAGAGAAAGGUUU
rnacentral:lncRNA from 1 species